rnacentral:misc_RNA from 1 species
GAUGAAGAACGCAGCGAAAUGCGAUAAGUAAUGUGAAUUGCAGAAUUCAGUGAAUCAUCGAAUCUUUGAACGCACAUUGCGCCCCUUGGUAUUCCGAGGGGCAUGCCUGUUCGAGCGUCAUUAUAACCCCUCAAGCACGGCUUGUGUGUUGGGCCCCGUCCUCCGAUCCCGGGGGACGGGCCCGAAAGGCAGCGGCGGCACCGCGUCCGGUCCUCGAGCGUAUGGGGCUUUGUCACCCGCUCUGUAGGCCCGGCCGGCGCUUGCCGAUCAACCCAAAUUUUUUAUCCAGGUUGACCUCGGAUCAGGUAGGGAUACCCGCUGAACUUAAGCAUAUCAAUAAGCGGAGGA